rnacentral:tRNA from 1 species
CAGGGUGUGGCUAAAAUAGUGAAGCAUCUCUCUUACACUGAGAAGGAAUCUGUGCAAAUCAGAUCUCCCUGA